rnacentral:rRNA from 1 species
UAGGGANUCUUCCACAAUGGGCGAAAGCCUGAUGGAGCAACGCCGCGUGUGUGAUGAAGGCUUUAGGGUCGUAAAGCACUGUUGUAUGGGAAGAAAUGCUAGAAUAGGGAAUGAUUCUAGUUCGACGGUACCAUACCAGAAAGGGACGGCUAAAUACGUGCCAGCAGCCGCGGUAAUACGUAUGUCCCGAGCGUUAUCCGGAUUUAUUGGGCGUAAAGCGAGCGCAGACGGUUGAUUAAGUCUGAUGUGAAAGCCCGGAGCUCAACUCCGGAAUGGCAUUGGAAACUGGUUAACUUGAGUGUUGUAGAGGUAAGUGGAACUCCAUGUGUAGCGGUGGAAUGCGUAGAUAUAUGGAAGAACACCAGUGGCGAAGGCGGCUUACUGGGCAACAACUGACGUUGAGGCUCGAAAGUGUGGGUAGCAAACAGGAUUAGAUACCCUGGUAGUCCACACCGUAAACGAUGAAUACUAGGUGUUAGGAGGUUUCCGCCUCUUAGUGCCGAAGCUAACGCAUUAAGUAUUCCGCCUGGGGAGUACGACCGCAAGGUUG